rnacentral:lncRNA from 1 species
GGUCGCCCGCGCUGUCUACACCGCCCUCCGCCCCCCGGGGGGGGAGCAGAAGGGCACAGGGUCGGGGGUCGGAGACUGAGGGAUCAGACGGGGACCAGGGACCUGGGUCUGAGACUGAGGGAUCAGAGAUGGGGCCCCAGGUGAGGACCCAGACGAGGAACAGAGGCUGGGUCCAGAGGCCAGCGCUCCGAGGUCUGACCCUGGUGUCUCCAAGGCACCGAGUCCCUGGGUCUUGAGAGCGGCACGAAGUCCCUGUCCCCGGCAGAGCGGACCCCAGGGCUCUGGAUCCUCGGAGCCUGAGGUGGGCGCCAGGCCCUGCCGAGCACCCCUGACCUUAGGAAAGACGUGGCGAUGGGGAUUUGCCCCGAGCAGCGGCAGUCUGAAGGUUUCCUAGUGCCAUUCUCCUUGGUGCCUCUGCCUAGGUGAAUAGCAGCGGUGUCCUGUCUGUGGGCCUGAUUUACUUCUCUGCUUUGGAGAUGAUAUCUUGCUGCGCUGCCUCAAACUUCUGGAUCCCAGGGAUCCUCCCGCCUCAGCCUUCUGAGUAGCUGGGACUGACAGAGUGGAUCACUGCUCCCAGCUUUAUUUACUUUUUAAUACAACGACAGAAUGAUCCCAGAAAGCAAAACAAAAGUGACAAUGCCUGAUAAUCCAGCUAAAGAACUCUGAGCCACUUCCUCCGCCAUCUGUGCUCGUCCUGUGGACCAGCUGAGACCAUGAACAGGUGCUACACAAAGGCCGCCGGGAAGCUGGCUCCCUCCUGCCUCUGACCUCCCAUGGGCCAGAGGUAUUUACCUUCCUGACAUCCCAAGAAAC